rnacentral:rRNA from 1 species
UACGUAGGGUGCAAGCGUUGUCCGGAAUUAUUGGGCGUAAAGAGCUCGUAGGCGGUCUGUUGCGUCGGCUGUGAAAACCCGGGGCUCAACCCCGGGCCUGCAGCCGAUACGGGCAGACUAGAGUUCGGCAGGGGAGACUGGAAUUCCUGGUGUAGCGGUGGAAUGCGCAGAUAUCAGGAAGAACACCGAUGGCGAAGGCAGUUCUCUGGGCCGUAACUGACGCUGAGGAGCGAAAGCGUGGGGAGCGAACAGG